CUAUUUAGUCAACUUAAUGAAGAAAUUUUUAAAAUUACCAACAGUUUUUGCUGCAAUCACGUCCCCAGCAUAAACACACACAUACGCUCUUUCUCUCUAAAAAAGCAAGAAAUAAUAAUAAUAAAAGAUAAAAAGAGAAUGUGAGAAAAUGAUGAGACCAUAGCCAAAAAAAAAAAAGAGAGAUAGCAAAAAAGAAAGCACAGAGGAAGUGAAUCGAAGGCUUAAACUUAAGCUUAAAAGAUGCUGAGAUUUACUCUUUUAUGGCUUCUCGUUUUCUUUUUAUCUCUUGUUUCAUCUUCAGCUCGGCCCGCACCUUUUGCUAUGCGCAUAAGCUGUGGGGCUCGUCAAAAUGUCCGAACAGCACCAACAUAUGCACUUUGGUAUAAAGAUUUUGGGUAUACAGGUGGAAUUCCAGCUAAUGCAACAACUCCAAGUUUCAUUACUCCUCCUCUAAAAACACUCCGAUAUUUCCCUCUAUCUGAAGGUCCGGAAAAUUGCUACGGGAUUAAUAGAGUACCGAAGGGACACUAUACUGUGAGGAUUUUCUUUGGAUUAAUUAAACAGCCUGAUUUUGACAAUGAACCUCUAUUUGAGAUAUCUGUUGAAGGCACCUUGAUUCAUUCACUGAAGUCAGGCUGGACUAGCCAUGAUGACCAGGUGUUUGCUGAAUCCCUUGUGUUUCUUUUAGAUGGCACAGUAUCUAUUUGUUUCCAUAGCACUGGUCAUGGAGAUCCAGCAAUUAUUUCUAUUGAAAUUCUUCAAGUUGAUGAUAAAGCAUACUAUUCUGGUCCAGAGAGGGGCAAAGGUGUUAUCCUGAAAACAACUUCAAGACUGACUUGUGGCACAUCAAAGCCAAGAUUUGAUGAGGACUAUAGUGGGGAUCAUUGGGGAGGAGAUAGAUAUUGGGAACCCAUCAGAACUUUUGGGCAAAAUGCUGACGAGCCGAGAUCUACUGAAAAUAGCAUUAAACAAGCUUCAGAUGCACCAAACUUCUAUCCAGAAGCCCUUUAUCAAAGUGCAGUUGUUAGUACUGAUAGCCAGCCAGAUCUAGCUUAUACAAUAGAUGUGGAUCCCAAUAAGAACUACUCCAUAUGGUUACACUUUGCAGAGAUUGAUGCUUUAGUCACAGAUGCUGGGCAAAGGGUGUUUGAUGUUCUGCUUAAUGGUGACACUAUAUUUAAAGAGAUAGAUAUUGUGAAGAUGAGUGGUGACCGGUAUACUGCACUAGUGCUUAAUAGAACUGUUGCUGUUAGUGGUAGGACAGUGACAAUAACCCUUCAUCCUAAAGAAGGCCACCAUGCUAUCAUUAAUGCCAUUGAAAUCUUUCAAGUAAUAGCUGCUGAGUCCAAAACUUCAUCAGCAGAAGUUAGGGCUUUACAGGCAUUGAAGAGAUCACUGGGGCUUCCAAAUCGUUUUGCGUGGAAUGGAGACCCAUGUGUUCCCAAGGAGCAUCCAUGGAGUGGAGCUGAUUGUCAAUUUGAUAAAUCUGGCAGGAAGUGGUUCAUUGAUGGCCUUGAUCUUUCCAACCAAGGUCUUAAGGGGUUCUUGCCUGAUGACAUUUCCAAACUAAUUCAUCUACAGAGCUUAAACUUGAGUGGAAACACAAUUCACGGGGUCAUUCCAUCAUCACUUGGAACUAUAACCAGCUUAGAAUUGCUGGACCUCUCCUACAAUUUCCUCAAUGGAUCAAUUCCUGAAAGCCUAGGGAACUUGACCGCAUUGCGCAGAUUGAAUCUUAAUGGCAACUCUUUGUCUGGAAGAGUCCCAGGUGCACUUGGAGGAAGGCUUUUGAAUGGAGCUAGCUUUAAUUUUACUGACAAUGCUGGUCUCUGCGGCAUACCCGGAUUACCUACAUGUGGACCCCACCUCUCUGCCGGAGCAAAGGUCGGCAUUGCCUUCGGUGUAUCUCUAUCAUUUUUACUUGUUGUUAUCUGUUCAGUUUGUUAUUGGAAAAGACGGCAGAACAUUCUUCGAGCACAGCAGAUAGCAGCAAGAGGUGCUCCGUAUGCAAAAGCAAGAACCCAAUUCUCUCACGAUAUCCAAAUGUCAAGGCACCAUAAUCAUGGCCAUACUCGGACAGCUGCUGAGAAUGGACCAAGCUUGCUAUCGUGAUUAAAAUCAUAGCCCCUGUAGAAUCACUUCGAAAAGGUCUGAUACCCCAACAGUCACAAAAAAAAGGCAGCAAAACUGAAGUACAUUAUCUUCUGUGAUGUGUGAAUUUUGAAAGGAAAAUCAUUGUCUACUCGCUCGGGACGUGGCAAAGUGGGAACACAACGAACACCUAAUUCUCAUGCAGGUUAGAGGUCUGACAUUGUGAUUUCCAGGCAGCGAAUCCAUUCACUAAGUCCAAACAAAUAAGGCGCCGCUGAAUACCCGUACAGAAGAAAAAAGAAUAGGGCAUACGUAAGCACCGGCGCUGAGUUCACUCACUUGACAGACACACCUCCCCUCUGCUCCUCACGUCUAAUCAGGCGGCGGCUCUCUCUUUUCUUUAUUUAAAUAUAUACUUAUUUUAUAAUGGGUUAAAUGUCUUGGUUAGUCCUUGAGCUUUCAUCUAAUGGGCAAUGUGAUAUUUAUAUAAAGAAAAGGUCUAAUUUGAUACAAAACUUUAAAUUAAUGAUUGGUGUUGGGAUUUGAAUUUAAUUUGUAUAGUUUUUAUUAAAUUAUCAUUUAUGUUAAGUAAUAAAUAAAAUUUUUAAAAUUAUAUUAAAAAUAUUAUAUCAAUCAUAUAAUGAGACAUGACAUUCAUUUAUACGUCUUUGUGAAGUCAUCGCGAAAUUAGAUGAUGUUAAAGCUUUGGGGUACGUUGGUACAUAAUAGAAUAGUAAGAUUUCUAAAAUUAGAUUAAUGAUCGAAUCAGUUAGGUUAUCGACUAAGUCACAAGUCAACAGAUCUUAAUCACACCGAUGCUCCAAACCAAUUUAAUCCAAUUCAAACAACAUUCCGGAAUAGUAUAGAUACCAAAUUGAAUAUUUUGAUUAUACAAAUACUGGAUUAGAUAUUAAAUUAAAGUUGAGGGGCUAACUAUGGAAUUAGCAUUUAACAUUUAAAUUUGCAGUAAUGGGUAUAGGAGAGACCGUAGUGGGUCACUUCUUUUUAACUACAAACAGACGCACACAAAGUCCCCUCCGGUCUUCCUUUUCAUAUCAUAUUUACUUUUUCUUUUUCUUUUUUCUUUAUAUUUUCUCUUCCACUAAUACUAAUAACCCCAAAAGCUAAAACCUUUCAGCUUCUCUUUCAUGGCGUCCUCAAGGGAAGGUCACUACAGAGGUGUAAGGAAGAGACCGUGGGGGAGAUACGCAGCUGAAAUACGUGAUCCAUGGAAGAAAACGAGGGUUUGGUUAGGUACAUUCGACACACCCGAAGAAGCUGCACUCGCUUACGACGGAGCAGCUAGGUCCCUCCGUGGUGCCAAAGCUAAAACCAACUUCCCCACACCGUCUUCCUCUUCUUCUCCGCCGCCGGCUCUUUCUCUUGAUCUCAAUCUCGCUUCUCAUAAUCCCCAUCGUUGGGCUUUAGCUUCACCUCAUCACCAUCACCGUUUUGCCGCCGUGGGUGAUUUCCUUCAUGCUGGUGGUAUUAAAGAUAUGAACUUUGGUCCCGACCCAUCGUCUUCGACGAGACCCAAUGUCCUCUCCGUUUCCACUUCCCCUCCGGUGACCGCAAAUGGUAACACGGCGUCGUUUCUUGGGAUUGUUCGACGUGGUUUGCCUAUAGAUUUGAAUGAGCCACCUCCACUGUGGCUGUGAAUGUGGUUUUUCUUCUCUAGGCAUUUUGCAGGCGCCCUUUUUAAUCUUUUAACCCUUCCUUAGGCAUCUUUGCUACUUCUGUUUAGUAAUUAUUCUGUAUUUUGAGAACUAGGAAUCAUAAAAAAAAAAAACAUAUUAAAAACUGAGGACCUUUUGUGUAAA